GUCAUGAGAAGAGUAAGUUGAAGAACUUCAGUGUAUCCAUACAUUGAGAGAUCACUAUCUUCCCUGUCCUUUAAGGGGUUCUCAAAAUCUAUAGCAGUGAGGCUUGCAUCUACACACCAAUGACAAAUCUUUUUUGAGGACAGAAUGGUAUCACGUAAAGGGAAAUCAAGUCAAGCCAAGAAGAUAACACCAUUUAAGGAAACUACUUUACCAAAACGCUGUGUAAAGGAUGUAAUUGCAUUUGGGAAUAGCUACUUUGGGCAGAGCAAUAACACCCAGUUAAGAGGCAUGAAUGGAAUACGCUCAACAUCUGAGUAUAUUUUACUGGGAAGUCUCAUUCUUUGAAAGGGCAGCCCAAUGAUCAGUGAAGUGAGCUAUGACUUUUGACCAAGUCUCAGCAAAAAGCUGUUUCAACACCUGCCACUCUUGAGCUACAAAGAAACCGUUUGUUCAUCGCCCAAAGUAGUAAACCAUUCUAACAAGAAACAGCAAAUAAAACCCCA
rnacentral:lncRNA from 1 species